UACUCCCUCGGUCCCAAAAAGAAUGCAAGUCUCACUUUUUGAGGAGUCAAUCAAUUUUAAAUUUGACCAAAUUUAUACAAAAUAGUAUUAACAUUAAUGAUAUAAAAAUAAAUAUCAAUGGAUUAAUCAUGUAAUAAUAUAGUUUCGUACUAAAUUGAUUGCGAGAUAUGAAUGUUAGUACAUUUUUGUAUUAAUUUGGUCAAACUUGAAACUGUUUGACUCCUUGGGAAGUGAGAGUUGUAUUCUUUUUGGGACUGAGAGAGUAU
rnacentral:lncRNA from 1 species